rnacentral:rRNA from 1 species
GAUGAACGCUGGCGGCGUGCCUAAUACAUGCAAGUCGAGCGAACAGACGAGGAGCUUGCUCCUCUGACGUUAGCGGCGGACGGGUGAGUAACACGUGGAUAACCUACCUAUAAGACUGGGAUAACUUCGGGAAACCGGAGCUAAUACCGGAUAAUAUAUUGAACCGCAUGGUUCAAUAGUGAAAGACGGUUUUGCUGUCACUUAUAGAUGGAUCCGCGCGCCAUUAGCUAGUUGGUAAGGUAACGGCUUACCAAGGCAACGAUGCGUAGCCGACCUGAGAGGGUGAUCGGCCACACUGGAACUGAGACACGGUCCAGACUCCUACGGGAGGCAGCAGUAGGGAAUCUUCCGCAAUGGGCGAAAGCUUGACGGAGCAACGCCGCGUGAGUGAUGAAGGUCUUCGGAUCGUAAAACUCUGUUAUUAGGGAAGAACAAAUGUGUAAGUAACUAUGCACGUCUUGACGGUACCUAAUCAGAAAGCCACGGCUAACUACGUG